UUCACCUCAUGUUUUUCGCGUGAAAACACACUUUUCGGGUGAAAAGUGAAAAAAUUUCGCCCCCAUUUCGCCUCACGGUAUUCACCUUGGAAAAUAUUUCGGGUGAAAACUUGGGACGGUUUUUCGCUCGACCGAAAUUUAUUUGAUUUUUUCGGCUGAAGUGAGCCGAAAAAGUUUUCGUCUGAAAAACUUUUUCGGUCGAAAUUUGGAGCGCCAAUUCCAAAUUUUGUUAUCAUUUCUCUCUUGGAUAUUCAGAUUACGCAUUUUGCAAUUUCUAUUUCUUCUACUAGUUUCGCAAAAUUUUACACUUUAGUGAAGUUAGAAUAUAAAAUCAUUAAGAAUGACAGGUAAGACAACUACGCGUAAGAAAACUGCUGAUCGACCGGAGUCUACAAGACUUACAUUGGAUGUAAAACGGGCAUUGGCAGCUCUGGUGGAAAAGUUUCCAGAAGUUUGGGAUUUGACCCACGUCAAUUACAAAAAUCGAGAUGCUCGAGAAGCUUCUUGGACGAAGAUUGCGGCAGAAAUGAAUCUAUCAGCUGAACGUUGCAAAGCCGCCUGGGGUUCCCUUCAGGACGCUCUGCGAUAUCAAAGAACAGGAAAAAAGGGCCCAUCUGGCAAAGGCAGUGAGGAGGACCCCUCUCAGACAGAAUUUAAUUUUGAUGAAAUAAAAUACUAGAAGGGUGGAACUUGUGGGAAUCCAUGAAAUUCUAUGUGCUUUCCAAACCAAGUCGGACCACGCUGUCCAACAUGAUCUUUUCAUCAACUGCUACUGAAAAUAACGACGACAAAGCUCCUCAAUCAGAUUCAGGAUCAGACGAAGUCGAGUUGACCGAGAAUUUAAACCUGUCUACUUCUAAUAAUGAGGAUGACCCACCGUGCGGGAAAUCGACUCCGGUUGCAGGAGAAAUACGCCCUAUCUAUUCGCACUAGAAGCUAAAUACCUUCAUAAAUGACGCCUUCAACUCUUCAAAUAUGGCACGACUAGUUUGUUCAAUGAUUGGACCAAGACGUUGUUUACUGAUUCUAUAUGUUGAUGCCACGUGACGCUGUAGAGACCCAGA